rnacentral:lncRNA from 1 species
GUUAAAAACCAUGGCAACCGGCGCAGAGUCUGCGCAUGCUCAGCUGGUUCUAGCUGUGGUAGACACGUGUGUUGUCUGUCGUCUCCAUCCGUGCCUGCUUCAUACAGUCUACUUAAAUAUUCCCUGCUAGGAUGGCGAUUUGUCUGUGGAAAACAUCUGCAGAGUAUUUCAGGUCCGUCGCAGUAGUCUGUACCUUACAGACGAUGCAAACAGAGCCAUUAUGCCUGAGCCAGCAGGACAUUUUUCCACCUUGUAUAUGUCCAACCGCGGCCAUUACGAGGUCCACGGAGAGCCAGAGCAAAGUCAGUCACCUGCAGGCAGAGCACCAGCACCUUCACCCACUCCUCCGCCCACUUUCCCCUUCAGCUUCAUGCACCAAGCCUCAUCUUCUUCUACUGGGAGUGCAGCUUCACAUGGAGCUCCACGAGCUCGUGGAAGGUUUCCUCAAAAAUCAUUUCACAGGUCAAUCAGUAUUGGUGAAAUGGUGAACGGCAAGAUCAGUACCUCCAUGGCGGUUGACAUUUGCUUUUUGGAAGAUGAGGCAACUGUUGAGGGAAUAACCGCAAAGGUGCAGGGUGCCUUGGAUUCUGAUGAGCCAUUUACUUUGGCGGACAGCCAAUUUAAUGAAGACUGCGAAGGCUCAAGAAGUAAGUUAUAUGAUCACAAAAUAUGUGGUUUUGGAAUAAAUCUAAAAUUAUUUUGCAUGGAUUGCUAUUUAAGUAAGGUUCAAAUUUUAUGA